rnacentral:rRNA from 1 species
GACGAACGCUGGCGGCGUGCCUAAUACAUGCAAGUCGAACGGAAAGUCCCUGCUUUUGGCGUGCACUCGAUUGGCGAACGGGGUAGUAACACGUGAGUAACCUCCCCGUUACUUUGGGAUAACUUGAGGAAACUGGGUCUAAAACCGGAUAUGAUCUCGUGUUGCAUUUUGUGGGUUGUAAAGUUUCGGCGGUUGGGGAUGGCCUCUCUGCUUAUCAGCUUGUCGGUCGGUUAGUUGCUUACCAGGUGUUGGAGGGGUAGCCGGCCUGGGAGGUUGACCGGCGACAAUGGGACUACGGUACGGAGCAGAAUCCUACGGGCGGCAGUAGUCGAGAGUAUGGCACAAUGGGCGGGAGCGUGAUACGGCGGCGCCGCGUGCGGAAAACCGGCUUGCGGGUUGUAAACCGCUUCCGCAUGUACCGAAGCGUGCGUGACGGUAAUGAGUAAAGAAGCACCGGCUAACUACGUG